rnacentral:rRNA from 1 species
GGACUACCGGGGUAUCUAAUCCUGUUUGCUCCCCACGCUUUCGCGCCUCAGCGUCAGUUACGGUCCAGAUAGCCGCCUUCGCCACUGGUGUUCUUCCCAAUAUCUACGAAUUUCACCUCUACACUGGGAAUUCCACUAUCCUCUCCCGUACUCAAGCCAACCAGUAUCAAGCGCAAUUCCAGAGUUGAGCCCUGGGCUUUCACGCCUGACUAAAUCGGCCGCCUACGCGCCCUUUACGCCCAGUAAUUCCGAACAACGCUAGCCCCCUUCGUAUUACCGCGGCUGCUGGCAC